ACUAAUUAGAUUGCUGAAUCUUGCUAUACAUCUCUAUCACUGCACUGUGGAAAUUCAUUUCUCCAUUUGACAGUGACUGCAGGAUAUCUCCAUUCUUCCUAGAAGCCUGUGGCUACAAAUUGUUAUACUUUCUCCAUAGCUGAGGCCUGGGCUUCAUACUGUGAUGGUGAUAGCAGACUGCCAAACCUUGGUUGUAAAAAACUGCAUUGUUUUCCAAAGCUAAAUUACCUUGGAAGCUCAUCAUCUUGAGUUUCCACAGUCCACUGGUACAGUCCUGUAAUGGGCCCCAAGCUGGUAGUUCUUGAAAGCAGGCUGAAGGAGUUAAAAGCAGUAUACUAAGAUAAUGUUCUCUAAUGCUACCACAAUGUCAUGAUUUGCUGAUGACAACUGGGAAUUUGAAGGGGGGCUAGUAGCACAGUCAAGCUUCAGGCAGAGUAAAAAAGAAAGUAAGAGAAAAGUAGGUUCAGACUCUUAUCUGUUCACCACAUGUCCUGGUUUCAGCUGGGAUAGAGUUAAUUUUCUUCCUAGUAGCUGGUAUAGUGAUUUGUUUUGGAUUUAGGACAAGAAUAAUGUAGAUAAUACACCCAUGUUUUAGUUGUUGCUAAUAGUCAAGGACUUUCCAGCUCCUGAUGCCAUGUCAGGUGCACAAGAAUCUGGAAGGGGGCACAGCCUGGACAGCUGAUGCCAAUUUUUAGUAGAGGUAUAUUUUGAAUUUGGCUUAGUUUAAUUUUGUAUGCUUCCCCCCACCUCUGUAAAUUAUCUUCUGGUUUAUGGAGAAAAAAAACAAACAAACAAACAAAAACAAAAACAAAACAAAAACAAAAAAAAAAAAUCACUUUCUGAAGUUGAGGUACUCUUUAUAUGCCUAAAUGUUAAUAUUACUCUAAAUUUCUCCUUUUACUUCUGCACUUCCCUUUACUUGGCAGAUGGAAGGGAGGGAAGUGAAGGGGGAGGAGAGGUAAAAAUACUCCAGAAUAUACCUAGGAAAAAAACACGUUUAUUCUCUGAAAAUUUAAAUCCUUUGAAAACAUUUUUUGUAAUAAUUUCUAAGGCACAAAAGCUAUUUACAUUGUCACCUAUCAAACCACUUCAUCAAUUUCAGAAAUUUUGGACUAUUUUCCAGGAGAUCUGAUUGAGAAGUCCCCAGGCCAUGAAUUAUAAGGGCUGUGGGAUGUUUUGUAUCGUUUUAUACCACAGAGCCCUCAUAUUUUCUGAAGUCAUUAUGUUGGCUUUGAAAAUACAAAAACAUUACCAUACUGGCAUUCCCAAUCUGGACCUGCCCAAUGGCUCAGUCCUCUCUCAACAACCAUGAAAAGAACCAGCUGUUCUCAAUAGCAGAAGCAAAAACUCAGCUUCUGAAAUAACCUAUCCAGGAUGAAUGCUACUGCCUAGCCACCAUUAGUUAGUUAAUCUACUGUAACAAUUGUAGAAAGCAUAUAAUGAAGAAUGGGUCAAAUGACUUUGAGAAUGCUGCAUCACUAAAAGCUCUCAUUUAGUCAGCUGCAGCGGAGCAAUACAGGUGAUCAGUGAGGGCACCACAAAUUAAUGAAUUCACAGUACAAUACAACACUGUAGUUCUUUUCCUUUCUUUCAAAUUCUUGCUGGAUCACUUUGACAAGCAAGAUGUGUCAGACUAGAAAAUGGCAAUGAUAUCAUUGCCCAUAGGAGCAGACAUGUCUGUUUGGUUAUGAUCAUAUUCUGGUAAUUUCCCUUAAGUCAUGAAGCUGAGCAUAGUGAUCUUCGAUAGAUGCAUUUAAUGGACUGACACUGAUCAAAGAGAGAUUAUGAGUUAGGUAUUAUGAGUAUGGGUCUAACUGGGAUUCAUUAGAAGAUGCAGUAGUCUCAUGGGUUAGACGCUCCAUCAAACAAGUCACUUAACACCAGGCUGCAGAGAAGCACUGAACUGUUCAAAUGCUCUACUGAUGAGUGAAUAGAUAUGCAGGAAUGGAAGGAAAUAUCCAAGUUAUUCAGUGCAUCCAGCACUUCAGUUGCAGGCAACAGGCAUUGGAGUGGGAAUCAACUCCAGAUCAAGGCAUUUAAAUAGAGAUAACUACAUCUGGGUGCUUACACUGGGGACAGGUAUUUAAAUAGCUACUGCAGUCUGUGGAGCCUCAGGUCUCCCUGAAGCAGAUGGUGGCUGGUCAGCUGGAUGAACAGCUCUCCAGCCUUCAUGACAAGUUCUUUGCUGACUACCCUGGCAGGUCAGAUGUCAGCUCACAUCUAGAUAUGUAGGAUGGAGUUCUUAAUCCUCAUCUGAAUUCCCAGUCUUUCCUAAGAGGAACUGUCAUUCUGUGAACAAUCAGUAAAACAAACAACAUAUGCUCCUACAAAUCUGCACUGUGAAAGACAUGUACUUUACAAGGAGAGUGAUGGUUCAAUUUAGUGUUCUGAAUGAAUUCCUGUAGAGCCAUUUGAAAUGUCCUGAGGUAUCCAAGGCACUCACACAGGUUUGACAGAUACGACACGUGACUCAGGAAAGAGCAGUGAUGUUCUAGAACAAUGACAGGGGAACAGGCAUGAUGCACUAGCAGAUCUUAAGUGGCACCAAUUUCCUAUGCUUAGACAACAAAACUGAGCUCAUAGAGACCUAAGCAAGAAUGGAACUCCAAAUUUCUUUACAUGGUGUCUAGCACAGCAGUGUUCUCUGAUGAUUGUAACCUUCAACACAGUUAUUGGCAGAAAUGCCUCUUCUGUUUUCUCACUGCAGGACUGUAGUUCUUCCCUAGUAUGUUAUGUCCAAACUAGUAAGGAUGAGGAUCCUUGAUUUCCACAAAUGAUCUCAGCUUAACAUUCACUAAGUGUGGAUAUGGAAUCUCUUCAGUGCUACUAUUUGGUCUUUAAAAUAAUGGUUUAGGUCAACUUAUACCAACCCUUGUUAAUGUCAAAAUCAAAAAGAUAAAGAGAAAUAUUAAAAGGGAAACAAAAGUGCACAUGACCUAAUCACCUUGCUUUGCUUUCAGCUUUCUUGGUCGAUGGUAUAUUUCCAGUUUCAUUCUGGAUCUUGGUAGACACAUGUUUUAAUUAAAAUCAUUACUGGUAGAUGGAAAAAAAAAAUAAAAAUCUUUAAAAUCAAGGAAGUAGGAGUUCAUUUGUGAAGUCCAGGGAAGCCAUAAGAAAGUAUGGUGCAGAAUUAGAAAGACAGAUCUCCACCUGAUCUUUUAGUUUCAUUUCCCAAUAUGGGAUAUUGCUGUCUUUUAUUAGUGCUUAAUUCAUCUGUUGACAAGGAAUCAUUUUUUAUAUUUCAGGUAAGGGAGAUACAAUCAGUUUAAUCUAUUCAGACUUCAGAACUGCGUUUGAUAAGGUAAUCUGAGCCACACAGACAAGCCGCAUCAAUCAAACUAUGCUCUUAAACUCACGUCGCAAAGCUCGCAUUUGCUUUUCAGUUUGGCCACAGCCCAGGCCCUGCUGUCACCUGAACUGGCCAUGGAUCCUGGUUCACACUGUCUGGCUCAUGGCCCUGGAUCCUUGCACAUGAUGUCAGGCUGCCACAGGACAGCACAGCUCCCUCCAGACAUGCCUGCAUGGAUGAGAAGCCUUGAGAUGGCUCUACCUGAGAGAGGUGAAGACAUGUCUAAAACAUAACCUGUGAAAUACCUAAUAGUCUUUAAAUCAUGCAAAACAGCAGGGAAGUAGUUACUGCUAACGCUUCCUGAAGUUUUCCUUCAGACACCAGCACUGCAAUGGAUGGGUUUUUUUUGCAAUGCAAGUGCAAAUCGUGGUGACUGCAACAAUUGCAACAUGCAGUGGUAUUUCUGUUAGCAGGUGUCCUAGUGAUGUUGUAAGUAAGCAAGUUUCAAUAGAAAGUCUUACAGUUAACAGUGGCCAGCCCCCUAUUUUGUUUAAAACUACAAAUACAUCUGGUUGCAAACUCGAUUUUACUAAAAAGAAGAGUCUAUGAUCAACACAAAUCAAAACUGUUUUGAUGAAAAAAUGCUGAGUUUAUGUCAGAAAAAUAAAUGCUUGAUUUUUCUGGAUUUCCAUCCAAUUUAAAAUGGAAAUGUCUCUGUAGUCAAGAAAAUAUUUGGAGAAAAAAUUCUCAACCAUCUGUAUUUAAGUCUCCUUGAUGAUAGGUUCUUUUCUUGCCUGAAGUUUGUCUUAACAUCAAAUUCUGCUGGAAUAAGUUAUUCAG